rnacentral:rRNA from 1 species
AGUGAACGCUGGCGGCAGGCCUAACACAUGCAAGUCGAACGGCAGCACAGCAGUAGCAAUACUGUGGGUGGCGAGUGGCGGACGGGUGAGGAAUACAUCGGAAUCUGCCUUAUCGUGGGGGAUAACGUAGGGAAACUUACGCUAAUACCGCAUACGACCUACGGGUGAAAGCGGAGGACCUUCGGGCUUCGCGCGAUAAGAUGAGCCGAUGUCGGAUUAGCUAGUUGGCGGGGUAAAGGCCCACCAAGGCGACGAUCCGUAGCUGGUCUGAGAGGAUGAUCAGCAACACUGGAACUGAGACACGGUCCAGACUCCUACGGGAGGCAGCAGUGGGGAAUAUUGGACAAUGGGCGCAAGCCUGAUCCAGCCAUGCCGCGUGGGUGAAGAAGGCCUUCGGGUUGUAAAGCCCUUUUGUCCGGAAAGAAAAGCACUGGGUUAAUACCCUGGUGUUCUGACGGUACCGGAAGAAUAAGCACCGGCUAACUUCGUGCCAGCAGCCGCCGUAA